UGAGUAUGCUAAGGCGCUUGAGAGAACUGUAUUGAAGGAACUAGGCAAAUUGCCCUCGUAACUUCGGAAGAAGAGGGCCCGGUCUAUACGCAAGUAUUGGCCGGGGGCACAUAGCAGGGGGUGGCGACUGUUUACUAAAAACACAGGGCGCUGCGAAAUCCAAAGAUGACGUAUAGCGUCUGACGCCUGCCCGGUGCCGGAAGGUUAAGAGGAGAUGUGAAAGCGUUGAAUCGAAGCCCCGGUAAACGGCGGCCGUAACAAUAACGGUCCUAAGGUAGCGAAAUUCCUUGUCGGGUAAGUUCCGACCUGCACGAAGGGCGUAACGACUUCCCCACUGUCUCCAAUACAGGCUCAGCGAAAUUGAAUUCCCCGUGAAGAUGCGGGGUUCCCGCGGUCAGACGGAAAGACCCCGUGCACCUUUACUGCAACUUUACACUGGCAUUAGGAAUGGAAUGUGUAGGAUAGGUGGUAGGCAUUGAAGCGGAGGCGCUAGCUUUCGUGGAGCCGUCCUUGAAAUACCACCCUUUUUGUUCCUGAUGUCUAACCGCGGCCCGUCACCGGGUCCGAGACAGUGUAUGGUAGGCAGUUUGACUGGGGCGGUCGCCUCCCAAAGAGUAACGGAGGCGCGCGAUGGUAGGCUCAAUCCGGUCGGAAAUCGGAUGUUGAGUGCAAUGGCAAAAGCCUGCCUGACUGCAAGGUCGACGGACCAAGCAGAGACGAAAGUCGGUCAUAGUGAUCCGGUGAUCCCGAGUGGAAGGGUCAUCGCUCAACGGAUAAAAGGUACGCCGGGGAUAACAGGCUGAUCGCACCCAAGCGUCCAUAGCGACGGUGCGGUUUGGCACCUCGAUGUCGGCUCAUCACAUCCUGGGGCUGUAGCCGGUCCCAAGGGUAUGGCUGUUCGCCAUUUAAAGUGGUACGUGAGCUGGGUUUAGAACGUCGUGAGACAGUUCGGUCCCUAUCUGCCGUGGGUGUUCGAAACUUGAGAGGACUUUUUCCUAGUACGAGAGGACCGGAAAGAACGUAUCUCUGGUGGAUCGGUUGUCACGCCAGUGGCAUAGCCGAGUAGCUAAAUACGGACAAGAUAACCGCUGAAAGCAUCUAAGCGGGAAACUUACCUCAAAACCAGGUUUCGCUUGAGAGCCGGGGAAGACUACCCCGUCGAUAGGCCAGGUGUGUUAGCGCGGCAACGCGUUGAGCUUACUGGUACUAAUCGCUCGAAG
rnacentral:rRNA from 1 species